GAUGAACGCUGGCGGCGUGCCUAAUACAUGCAAGUAGAACGCUGAAGGAGGAGCUUGCUCUUCUGGAUGAGUUGCGAACGGGUGAGUAACGCGUAUGUAACCUGCCUUGUAGCGGGGGAUAACUAUUGGAAACGAUAGCUAAUACCGCAUGACAACAGUUAUUGCAUGAUAACUGUUUAAAAGGGGCAACUGCUCCACUACCAGAUGGACCUGCGUUGUAUUAGCUAGUUGGUGAGGUAACGGCUCACCAAGGCGACGAUACAUAGCCGACCUGAGAGGGUGAACGGCCACACUGGGACUGAGACACGGCCCAGACUCCUACGGGAGGCAGCAGUAGGGAAUCUUCGGAAAUGGACGGAAGUCUGACCGAGCAAAGACGCGUGAGUGAAGAAGGUUUUCGGAUCGUAAAGCUCUGUUGUAAGAGAAGAAAGAGUGUGAGAGUGGAAAGUUCACACUGUGACGGUACCUUAACAGAAAGGGACGGCUAACUACGUG
rnacentral:rRNA from 1 species